rnacentral:misc_RNA from 1 species
GUUUUAUGGCACUUUUUUAAAUCCAUAUCCACCUUGUGUGCAAUGUCAGGGGUUUUUUGGUUUCUUUCGAGAGAUCCCGAAGCCCCCAAACAUCAACUAUUAUCUCAACUCUUUGUCUGAAAAAUAUUAUGAAUAAAACAAUUCAAAAUACAACUUUCAACAACGGAUCUCUUGGCUCUCGCAUCGAAUAAACGCCGUCAUCUAUGACACGGCAUUUGAAGAGGAAUCUAGGCUCUUGCAUCGAUGAAGAACGCAGCAA